rnacentral:rRNA from 1 species
CUAGAUCAGUAGAUGAC